ensembl:lncRNA
AAAAUAUCUUCAUAAUUUUGGUUACGACAUUGCUUUGUAAUUUUCUGACUUAAACCUGCAUGAAAAAACAAAACCAAAACCAAUCAACCCUGCAGAAAGAUGUCUUUCUUACCUGAAAAACAUUCAUCUUUGUCUCUAGUGCGGAGCACAGGUCCUGGCACAUGGCGUUGGUUUCCUAGAGGUUGAUGUGGUAGUGAUUCCUGUGGCAAGAAGCAUGAACUGGAAAGUCCCUCAAAAUAUCCUGAUGCAAAUAGUGGCUACUGUCUGGUUCGAAAAGUAGUAGUGAGAAUUUAUUGGACUUUUUCCUCUCAGCACAGAACAAGAAGUAAUCAAACAUGACUAUUUGGGCAGGAUUAUUGUGAUAUGAGUAUCCAACCUCACACUGCCAACAAUUUGCUGGAAGAUUUAACUUGGCAAAUAAAAAUUGAAUUUUUGUGGGCUCAUAACAGUCCAUAUUGGACAAUAUUUUUAAUAAUCUUAAAGCCAGAACGUUAUAAUUCAGAAAGGAUUGGAGUGAGAGAGAUGACGUAAUGGACAGCAGGAAGCUGAGGGCAUCUUGCACCAAAUGAAGGUCUUCUGUUUGACUCUUUUUAACCCCUGAUCUUUGGCAUAAAAUCCUUCAUUAUCAGGGUAAUAUGAAGCUUUUCAGAAGAGGAAGGAAGCACUGCUACUGCUGCAUGGCUCUCUGCUGGCAACACUGGGACCCUUACCUGCCACUUUAUAAGUUCAUGAUCUAAAACAACAUUUAUUUAUUUAUUUAUUUAUUUAUUUAUUUAUUUAUUUAUUUAGAGAAGCAUGUACAUACAAGCAGAGGGAGAAACAAAGGGCAAGGGAGAGAACCUCAAACAAACUUGGGCUGAGUAUGGAGCCUCUGUGGGACUUGAUCCCAUGACCCUAAGAUCAUGAUCCAAACUGAAAUCAAGAGUUGGACACUUAACCAACUGAGCCACCUAGGCACCCCAUAAGUUCAUGAUUUUUUGUUUUUUUUUUACCUAAUACUCCUUUUGCUUGAAAAAAUACCCAUUUUUUCCUUUCACCUACUUAAACCCCUAAUCAGAGUUGAGCCCUUGUUAAUAUGCAUCUUUCCUAUAAAGUCAUGUCAUAUAUUUGAAGUAUACAUGGGUCUCACUUUCAUUGAAUCCUCACAGUCAAGAAUCAAGUAGUUAGUACUAACUUUUCCUGAAUUAUUCAUGUAUUGUUAAUUCAGAUAACAUGUAAGUUCCCGAAUAUGGAGAAUAUGGAGGCUGUUCUUUAUUUCUGCUAGCACCUAGCAGAACACCGAGCACAUUAGUGGGUUCUUACACUAUAUUGAUUUCUUAUAUUUUAAAUAAUUUUUAUGAAUACAUAACACUGUGAGAGAGAUAAAUAUCUGUCAGUUUCCUCUAUUUCAGUGAAGAGAAAACUUUGGGUUCUGAGAAUACUUCAGUGUUUAAUUUCCAUGAUCUUUGGAAAUUAAGGCCAACAGAAGGUACUCUAAGUUUUAGUUCAUCUUGUUAGCUGGAUUUUAUAACUGAGUUUAUAAAAUCAGUGGUCUUACUUUCUAGAAAUAAAAAUAGCACUAUCAUGUUAAUACA